UUUAUUAUGAACCCUAACGAAGAAAUCGUAAAUUAAGCGGAUCGACAAGGAAAAAAACGGAAGUUCUGGUUUCGCAUUGAGGUUGCAGAGGGAUUGAGACUAGCUAUGUGGAGCUACGAGGAUCAUAGGUUCAUUUGAACCAGGGUAAUGGUGAAGUUCUGGUUUUGCUUGAUAUUUGUUUAAAUGGGUUUUAUGGUUUGUUACUGGAAAUAGGGGCGGCGGUGAUGGUUUUGACGGUGAUGCCGGAAAAUUGUUGAUGCCUACCACCACGUCACCUAGGCUAUUAACCCCUUAAAACUUGCAACUUGCGACAAGCACCUCCUUGGCGGAGAUCUUGAAGCCGGCUGCGGCAGUGACUAUAACAUUUUGAGUGAGCUAGCUAGCUUACAUUUUUGGCUGCAAUGUUCAUUUGGUGCAAAGAACAGACAAAUCUUUAAAAGAUUAAAUAAAAAGAGGAUAUGUAUACCCUUGUGUAUCUUGAAUGACUUUGGUUUUGUUGUAACUUUGAGCAGAUUCGCUUCAUUAAGGGAAAGCCCAAAGGUUGGCUUUGUAAGGAGAAAGGCCGCUUUCUGCCAUUUUCUUUCAUGCAUAAACAUAAACCAGAAGCAAUGACUUUUGGGUGCAGACUUGUUGCAAUAGCUAAAGAUGGUAAAUUCGUUGCAAAAUAUGGUCUUUUCGUGAAGAAAUGGAUGAACAUUGGGAACCGGCUUGCACAGAAAAUGGCUUGCACAGAAAAUGGGGACGAUGAGAUAACUUACAAGCCUUCAGUUAAGUUGGCGUUCUUUUCUGAGUAGAGUUUCGGCUUUUCAUUAAGCUCAUGUUAAACAUUAAGUAACAGGAGUUUAGUCGAAUUCAGAGUUGGUGAAAAUAAUCAAAAUCUGCAGGUUGACAGAGUCAGCUUUUUAGUUCUUA